AUGUGAUAUGAUCGACUGCAUUGAAGCAAUAAUAUGGCGGCCGCAAGCUACAGUGGGCCGAACGUCAUAAUAUUACAAUGAGAAAACAAGACAUAUCGCGUAAAGGAGUAUUCACGUAUUAAAAUCGUAGCUAAACGAAAUGCUUUCUUAGCGAUGACACUGCCAACAGAGCAUUUUAGACGGCACGACAAAUUCCGUUGAAAUAUCUCUAGAAACCGACAGGGAACGGAAUAAUGAGUUCUUCUAUUGCAGAACUUAUAACAGAAUAUUUCUAACGCUGACAGAAGAUCGAAGAAACGAAUUGAUUCUCCGGCGAAUGGAGUUUUUUCAAUGUGAAAAAUCACAUCUGUAAAGUCUCUGUGGCCAAAUGCAUUACAAGUUGAAGAAACUUUUAAGCUAAACUUUUAACAUUUUCAUUGUUGAAAAUAAGUAAAGAUGAGUAGAAUCGAAAGCAGUUCGGAUAAUGGGAAUGGCUGGCAUGAAUGUGCCAAAUGGCUGACUAGAUGCGGAGCUUUGAGAGCGGAUCAUAAAGCAAACUGGCCAGAAGCAACUGCAGUUGAUUUAGCCUAUACUUUGAGAGAUGGUGUAUUGCUAUGUAAUCUCUUGAGUACCGUGUAUCCUGAAUCCAUAGAGAUGAAAGAUGUCAAUCAGAAACCACAGCUGGCACAAUUCUUAUGUUUAAGGAACAUAAAACUAUUUUUGGCAGCAUGCUCAGCAUUUUAUGGCCUAUCGAAUUCCGACCUGUUUGAGCCUUCCAUGUUGUUUGAUCUAUCAAAUUUUCAUCGUGUAUUAUGCACAUUAUCUGUGUUAUCUAAUUGUCCACGGCUAAGGCAGAAAAAUAUUCCCGGCUUUUUCAUUGGUCACGGUAGAUCGCAAGAAGACAUAUAUAAGGACUUACAAAGUGCCGGUGCUGGCCGCGUAGGUGAAGGUCGCCGCAGAAGGUUUAGAAGACGCGAAGGAGAUGAAGCAGGUGGAGGAGGGGACAAUGAAGAUCCAGUUGGAGAGGAGGAUGAUUAUGGAGCAUAUUGCAGUCAUGCUCAAAGCGAAGAGAUCUACCAGGACCUUUGUAGUCUGCACUUGCCACCUCCUCCAUCUGUUGCGCAGGAUGGCAUAAUUCCUGGAGGUGGGAAAAGCGAUUACGUGAUUCAAGAACUCGUUGAAACUGAACGGAACUACUCGGACGUCCUUAAUAGUUUGCUCAGGCAUUUUGCUAGACCACUUUCAUCCACGCUACGACCGGAAGAUUCGGCACGGAUAUUUUUUGGCAUUAAAGAACUCGCAGAAAUCCAUGCUGGUUUUCACAGUCAGCUUCGGAAGGCAAGAGCUGGCGUUACUUUAGCACAGGUUUUCCUUGAUUGGCGAGAAAAGUUCCUUAUAUACGGUGAUUAUUGCGCAAAUCUUACACUUGCACAAAACACAUUACAAGAAGUUUGUGCCCAUAAUGAGUUAGUUAAUCAAGAAGUUAUUAGAUGCCAACAAGAAGCUAAUAAUGGUAAAUUCAAGCUGCGGGAUAUACUCUCCGUUCCUAUGCAAAGAAUUUUGAAAUAUCAUUUAUUAUUAGAUAAAUUAGUAGAAGAAACUCCUUGCGAAUGGGUAAAAGAUCGACAAUAUCUCGGAGAAGCUAGAGAAGUUAUGGUGGAUAUAGCUCAAUAUAUUAAUGAAGUGAAACGUGACUCGGACACGUUAGACAUUAUAAAAGAUGUCCAGGCAUCGAUAAUUGAUUGGGAUGUCCCGGAGGACGCACAAUUAAAAGAUUUUGGCCGAUUGUUAAGAGAUGGAGAACUUAAGGUGAAAGCUCACGGUGACCAACGAACAAGGGUUCGUUACGCAUUUGUCUUCGAACAAGUAGUAUUAAUUUGUAAAGCGGGUAGAGGAGAACAAUAUUUAUACCGUGAAACUUUACGGCUAGAUGAAUAUAGAUUGGAAGACCCUACAGGAAGACGAACCCUUGGCAAAGAUAUCCGAUGGACUUAUCAAUGGAUGCUUGUCCAUAAACAAGAAUACACAGCGUACACUUUGUACGCCAAAACAGAAGAACAGAAAAAGAUGUGGAUUAAAGCGUUAGAGGAUGCAAUGGAUAAUGUUAAUCCUGCAGCGUGCCGUAACACUAACCACAAGUUUAAACUUACAACUUUCGAGGGCGCUCUUAGUUGUCAGUAUUGCAAGAAGUUCUUGAAAGGCCGUAUAUUUCAGGGGUAUCGGUGUGAAGUUUGCCGCUUCGCUGUACACAAACAAUGUAUUGCACACUCGGGUCGAUGUAUGCCGGUACCGCCGCCACCUCCGCCACCGCCGCCUUUGCCCUGCGAACGUGCUCUUUCAAUGAGAUUAUGGUUCGUAGGAGAAAUGGGACGGGACACAGCUUCGAAUAAAUUGGAACAACGCAAAGACGGCACAUACAUGUUGCGAGUACGGCCUGCCGGACAAUCACGGCAAAAGCAUGAAACUAAUUACGCUCUUAGUAUCAAGGCAGAUGGAGCGGUGAAACAUAUAAGGGUAUUUAAACGCAACGUUGACGGAGCUGAUCUGUAUUAUCUCAGUGAAUCUCGGUUUUUUAAAAGUGUAGUCGAGCUUGUCGAAUAUUACGAACGGGUAUCAUUAUCGGAGAAUUUUGAGAGAUUAGAUCAACGCUUGUUAUGGCCGUACAGGCGUGUAUUGGCAACGGCACUAUUCGAUUUUCAUGCAGAGGAACGUAAUCAAUUGAGCCUACAGCGAGGUUGUACAGUCGUAGUAUUGAGUAAAGAAGGCGAUGCCAAAGGAUGGUGGAAAGGGAAAAUAGACGAUCACGUAGGAUUUUUUCCAAAGGAUUAUGUCGAAGAACAAUAAGCAUAAAUUAUAUUGCUUAGGUACUUUUUCGAUGUGAUGGCACGGACGAUUAAGGAUAAUAUUUCACAUAUUAAUCGCAUCAUCGUGCAAUCAUAAUACUUUUAUUAAAAUGCCCCUCAGCAGAGAACAAAAGAAAUGUAACACAUUUUUACAUUGUAUAAAAUAGAAGUAAAUUCACUCACGCAUCGAUAUCAUUAUAAAAAAUACAGUUUUAUUUUGUUGUUCUCUUGACUCGAGGUUGUGCUGUAUCACAGUUAUAUAAAUAGAAAGUACACGUGCGUGUAUGAGAAUCGAGCGUAUAAAAACAAAUAUAUUUAGCGACUUGUAUAAACAAGAAGAAUUCAUUAUUUUUCAGUACGAUAUGGCGAUAUCAAAAAAUUUUAGAAAAAGAUGAUUCAUAAAGAUCAAAGUUGUCUAUCUUUGUAUAUUAGAAUCAUACGAAAAUAUUAUAUUAUCAAAUGUUCAUAAUUUUAGACAACUUUCUCUUUAUGACUAUAUUUUAAAGUCAAUUGCCAAGCCUCAAUUGUAUAUAGUGUAAUUCUUUAUUGUUAGCAAUGCAAAUUUUAACCAUUUCUUAGAUAUAUACAAUAUAAAUACACGACUAUCGCUACACGCAUUAUAGUAACAAAUUAAUUGUACUAUUUUUUUAACUGUUACACGUAUUUUCUGAUUGUGCCAAUGAAAAUAAUCAAUAAAAUUUAGUCCUUAUUCAGAUGUUAAUCUAAAACAAAUACUGCUUGUGUACUCCUAUAAUUCACUUUUUAUAGUUUUUUUCCUCUCAUUAUAUAUAAUAGUAGCCACUUUUUGCUCUAAUCUUUUACAACCAGCUGUUGCAUAAAGAUUAUGAGGAGGAGGUCCAAAAAUUGUAUAAGAUAAUGCUGCCUGUAUCAUAUCCUCACUUGGUGAAACGUUUCUAACUGUGAAAGCUUUGACUAAGCAUUGUUUUAUAUGUGUUUCUUCUAGUGGCAAAAAAGGAACAUAAUGGUCUAUGAGUUUAAUUCCAGUCCUAUAAUUAAAGAUAUACCUUAUAGAGUUCUACAUCUUGUUGCAAAGGAAAAUCAUUACGACCAUUGAAAAAAUGGUAAAACCGACUUUUAUCACCUUUCAUAUAAAAUGAUUUUGCAAUCAUCUGUGUCACGUAUGUUUUACCAGUUCCUGGGGGACCGUGAAAGCUCAUAACCAAAGCUUUUGGAGGAUCAAAUCGGCUUAAAUGUCCACGUAAAGCACUUAUUAUCACAUGGUGAGCAAUGUCUUGCCCAUAAAGAUUUGUAGUGAGAAGAUCUUCUAAUUCUAGAAAUAAAUAUACAAUCGUAACAUAUGUAAUUACUAAACAAAUGCGCUUUAUAAUAUUUCAUUUUCUAAUUUUACAUACUCACUGUCAAUAUCAGGAGAAACA